GCUGUGGUGGUGGAAUGGUAGACACACUAGCCUUAGGAGCUAGCGGGAGCAAUCCCAUGAGAGUUCGAGUCUCUCCCACAGCA
rnacentral:tRNA from 1 species